AUAUAAAUGGCUGCAUAGCUAAACGGGAGAAGCUAUAGCGCUAUAUGUCAAUAUUAAAAUCAUAAGCGUAUAGCUUUUCCCCUUGGUUAUGCAUGCAUAUUCUC
rnacentral:miRNA from 9 species